rnacentral:rRNA from 1 species
UACGUAGGGUGCAAGCGUUAAUCGGAAUUACUGGGCGUAAAGCGUGCGCAGGCGGUUGUGCAAGACAGGUGUGAAAUCCCCGGGCUUAACCUGGGAACUGCACUUGUGACUGCACGGCUGGAGUACGGCAGAGGGGGAUGGAAUUCCGCGUGUAGCAGUGAAAUGCGUAGAUAUGCGGAGGAACACCGAUGGCGAAGGCAAUCCCCUGGGCCUGCACUGACGCUCAUGCACGAAAGCGUGGGGAGCAAACAGG